UACGUAGGGUCCGAGCGUUGUCCGGAGUUACUGGGCGUAAAGCGCGCGCAGGCGGCCCGCGAGGUGUCACGUGAAAGCCCCGGGCUCAACUCGGGAGGGUCGUGGCAAACCGGCGGGCUUGAGGCCGGUAGAGGUGGGUGGAACUCCUGGUGGAGUGGUGAAAUGCGUAGAGAUCAGGAAGAACACCCGUGGCGAAGGCGGCCCACUGGGCCGGUACUGACGCUGAGACGCGAAAGCGUGGGGAGCAAACAGG
rnacentral:rRNA from 1 species